UACGGGGGGGGGCAAGCGUUGUUCGGAAUUACUGGGGCGUAAAGGGCUCGUAGGCGGCCAACUAAGUCAGACGUGAAAUCCCGUCGGCUUAACCGGGGAACUGCGUCUGAUACUGGAUGGCUUGAGGUUGGGAGAGGGAUGCGGAAUUCCAGGUGUAGCGGUGAAAUGCGUAGAUAUCUGGAGGAACACCGGUGGCGAAGGCGGCAUCCUGGACCAAUUCUGACGCUGAGGAGCGAAAAGCCAGGGGAGCAACGGG
rnacentral:rRNA from 1 species